AACAAAUUGAACGGUGAGGUCCAUGUUCUGGGAAAUUGCCCUUAACAUAGACAAGCGCAGCAGAGCAGGAAAUCACUCAAAUCUAUGUUCGGGUAACGUUCCCCGAACAUAGACCAGCUCUAUAACGUGGGGAAUCCUUUGAAUCCCCACGCUAGAGAGCUGGUCAAAAGCAUGGCCGGUGCAAGGACUUUUUGGUACACAGACGAAGAUUCAUCUUG